GUAACAUUAGGCAAGUGUACACGGAGAUAUACUAUUGCACAUGGAGGACUUUGAAACGGAUUUCUAUUAGUCAAGGAUACGGUCGUAUACUAUUGCAAAAGUCAUCCGUACAGAAUUCAAACUCAGCAACUUUUGACUAAUAUAAAGGUUGGGGCAGACACCUCAGAACACCCACGGAAUAAUAGACGCCAGAACACCCAUUGAAGGGAGAUCCACACAACAACAUAUCCACACAAAUCGAAGGGGCGACAUACGUCGGGACGCCCAGCACAUCGAAGGACGGAAGAAGAAACGACAGACACAUCAAGUUUGGGUAAUAUAUAUAGCUUAAAUCUUGAGGUCUGUUUACAUCUUUCCAUCCCUGCAUGUCUUUGCAACCUCCUUAUGAACACCAUGUUUUCCUGUUCAUUAACCAUUAGUUAGAACACUUCUUUCUAACCAAAUUUCAUUAUUGCAUUACCAUAUGAACCACUCCUUCUAAAAUUGUUUUUAAGGCAACAUCUCCAUGGCGUACACGAAGUUGAGUGAGCUAACCACAAGAGGACAGGCAUGUAAUAUUAAAGCCAAAGUAAUGAGAAUGUGGGACUCGAUCAAUCCUUCGACUGAUGAACUUAUAAGCAUCGAUAUGAUCUUGAUGGAUGAGCAGGUAUUUUCUUCACAUAAUUAACAAUGGGGAUUGUUUUAUUGUUAAAAUUACUACUAAGAUUUUUCUUUCAUUGAAUUUUGAAGGGCCAUACAGUUCAUGCUACUAUUUGGAAGAAUCUAAUAGACACUUACAGAGCAAAGAUCAAUGAGGGUUCUAUAUAUGCUUUUAGCAAUUUUAAAGUUGUAGAUUCGACAAAAUAUCGACCAGUCAGCAAUGAAAUUAAAAUUACUUUUUUAUACAAUACAAAAUUAAAGGAGAUGAAAGGUUCAUCGGAUGAUUUUCCAGAUUACUACUUUGAGUUUGCUAGCAAAGAUACCCUACAAGAACGUCUAGAAAAAGACCAACAAUGCUCAGGUAUGUUGACAGUCAUAUUCUUACUUCCAAGUGGACAAUUUAAAUUUGAUGUCAUUUCUUGGUGGUUGAUUAAUAAACUCAAAUGAAUAACUUUCUAAUUUUUGAAGUCUUUAAUCUUCCAAUUUGCAGAUGUCAUUGGGUUACUUACCAAGAUUAAGCCAAUAGAAUCAAGGAUAACCAAGAAGAAAACACCUGCAGAUGUAUGUCAGAUUGAAAUUCUAAUGCCAGAGUAAGUGUAUAUCCAUGUAUCAACUUUUCACUAAAGGGUAAAGGCUGUUUUCUUCCACUUAUAUUAUUAUUACCAUUAAUUACUUUGGAAUGAAUUAUUCAGGGGUGAUAGAAUCAGAGUACUCCCUCCGUCACGGUUUAGAAGGCGCGCUUGAAAAUUCUCUGGGACCUAGGUGGUUAUCUAUUGGUUGUGAGAUGUGCUAAAAAAUAGUAUUCACACUACGCAUGCAUAUAAAAAUAGUAUAUCGGAGUACUAAUUAGCUACUAAAAAUAAAUGCAAUGCGUCCUAAACCUUGUCUAUUAUGGAAACGCACGCAAAUUUAACUGUGCCUUCUAAACUGUGACGGAGGAGUAUCAUUAUGGGGAAGAUUAGCUCAUCAUUUAAGUGAGGAUGUAAUUGGCAAUCAAACAAUUAUUAUUGUUACCUCAACAAUGGUGCAAAAAUUCAAUGGUAAGUUGAAUAUGUUUACAUGUCUUUUUUCAUACCAAAAUAAUAAAUCUAACUGAUUUAUUGUUCAUUAAAUAGGUUUGUGCCUAAAGUCAACUAGCGCCACAAGAUUAUAUACGAAUCUAGAUAUACCCGAGACUUGGGAACUUUGUGGCAGGUAUUAAGCACAAUUUUUAGGUUCUGGUCAUAUAGAAUUUCAUAAUAUAUCUUCAUUUACUAAAUUUUUUAUAGCCACUCCACCAAAGAAACUUUACCAAAAAUGAUGGAGAUAGAUAAAAGUACUCAAGGGACACUAGAAGAUCAAAUGUUUUAGAGAAGGAUAACGUUAAAAGAACUUACUGGAAUUAGGCACGAUAACCC
rnacentral:lncRNA from 1 species